rnacentral:sRNA from 1 species
ACCAGGUGAGGGGGUGCACGCCUGUAAUCCCAGCUACUUGGGAGGCUGAGACAGGAGGAUCACAAGUUUAGAAACCAGCCCAGGCAACUUAGAGAGGCCCUGUCUCAA